rnacentral:lncRNA from 1 species
ACCCCUGUCUCUACUAAAAAUACAAAAAAACUAGCCAGGCAUGGUGGUGUGUGCCUGUAUCCCAGCUACUCGGGAGGCUGAGACAGGAGAAUUACUUGAACCUGGGAGGUGAAGGAGGCUGAGACAGGAGAAUCACUUCAGCCUGAGCAACACAGCGAGACUCUGUCUCAGAAAAAAUAAAAAAAGAAUUGGUUAUUUGUAAAAGGGUCCACACAAAAUUCCUUUAAAAAGCCAGUUCCUGGCUGGGCGCAGUGGCUCACGCCUGUAAUCCCAGAACUUUGGGAGGCCGAGGCAGGCGGAUCACGAAGUCAGGAGUUCCAGAUCAGCCUGACCAACAUGGUGAAACCCCGUCUCUACUAAAAAUACAAAAAUCAGCCAGG